ACUCGGCUUCCUUUGGGCCUUUGGGCAGCCAUUGAUGAUCAUAGCACCCUCUCUGUCUGUCUCCCUUUGAGAAGGGUAUGCCUCCAGCAUCCAGGGACGUUUUAUUGCCCAACCAGGCGCUGAAAGACGGCCGUAGAGUGGGGGGCAAAGUGCUGCAGCAAGUUUAUAUUUAAUUUCUGGCGCGGCAGAGACUCAAAUAUGUAGGGGUUUCCUCCUACGGAUGACUCGGCUCUCGGCUCUCGGUUGCAGGUGCGCCAUUCAGCGUCGUGUCGCCAUGGAUCAAAGCCUGGCAGCUGGCAACGGCGGACAACUCUCGACGACGUUUAUGAAAAAUUACCAGCAUGAAAGGACUCAAGGAGCCGAAAGACACUGCGACAAGUGAGUCGAGCCUGGGGGCGGGGCCUGAAGGGCGCGUGCGAACGCGCGAGUGAGCAAAUAAGCAGGCCCGAAAUGAGUCCUCGAAGCGGUGUCAAGAGGACAAGGGGCUGGGACUACGGACGGACGGGCAAAAGACAAUAAGCGCAUAAAUUACGCACGAAAUGUGCAGGGCCCUCCACACCCCCCCGCUCCGGCCCAAGAGGUGGAUACAGAUACGGAUACUGGCGACAGGACGCACACCCGGAUAGUUGCCUUUACUUGUAAGGUUACAAACGUAAUGAAAACGUAAAUCCCAGCCUGGCAUUCACAACUCAACGCAAUUUCUUUUCUUUCUUUAUUUGUUUUUUUUUUUUUCGGCGGCCCCGGAAAACGCAUCCUCCGUCCGGGCUUAACGGCGGCUUGUGCCCGGACUUUUGCGGUGCGCGGACUUACAUGCAAGGCGUACGGGUGUAUCUGCUGCCUUUCAUGCCGUUCCGUGGCGUUCCUUUUCCUGAAGAUCCCUGGACCGCCACCGCACUGAGCCUCUGAAAUUUAUUAUAGGUGGUGCCACACCCAGGGGCACGUUCUCGCCACUCAAUUCCCCGCUGGUCGUCGGGUCGGUGUGGGGCCUGGACGUUGCCGUAAUAUUUUUAUAAGUAGGCGGCGGGUCUUUUGCGGCGGCGGCAGGAUUUCGCCGAGUCAUAAAGUAACUCGUCUUUCGUUUUUCUUUUCUUUUUUCUUUUUUUUUUUGUCCAUAGCGGAAAUUACAUAUUUCUAUGUUAAUUUACAGGAAUAUUCCGUAGAAGUGCAGGUGGUCCCCCACCGUUCUCCUCUAUUAUGCGUAAAUUGCCGCAGCGUUAGCGACCACAGAAUGGGUUGGGGGGUUGGGGGGUUGGAGGUUGGGGGAAACUUUGCCUAAUUAGAAAAUCACAGCGGCCAGGAGCAGAUUGCAGGCUCCUCCGGUUACCACAUAAUUUCGUUGCGUCGGGCAUGUCGUGCGGCGGCAUCGCAACACAAAACUGUGGCAUAGACCAACCAAUUUGGCAAUGCAGAAAGUAGCCAGAGAAGAGACCAGGACCAGGACCAGGACCGGCACCAGGAGAUCACGCAGGUUGCCAUGCAAUUAGCGCAAAAAGCGCAAGGUAUUACCACGCAUUCCGCCACUGCCAUUCGCAUUUAAUGAAAUAAAUGUGAGGGACAUUACGACCAUGAGAUACCCUCUAAACGAUGGCUACUUAAGUAGUUCUCU
rnacentral:sRNA from 1 species